GACGAACGCUGGCGGCGUGCUUAACACAUGCAAGUCGAACGGUAAGGCCCUUCGGGGUACACGAGUGGCGAACGGGUGAGUAACACGUGGGUGAUCUGCCCUGCGCUUCGGGAUAAGCCUGGGAAACUGGGUCUAAUACCGGAUAGGACCACUGCCUGCAUGGGUGGUGGUGGAAAGCUUUUGCGGUCUGGGAUGGGCCCGCGGCCUAUCAGCUUGUUGGUGGGGUGAUGGCCUACGAAGGCGACGACGGGUAGCAGGCCUGAGAGGGUGACCGGCCACACUGGGACUGAGAUACGGCCCAGACUCCUACGGGAGGCAGCAGUGGGGAAUAUUGCACAAUGGGCGCAAGCCUGAUGCAGCGACGCCGCGUGAGGGAUGACGGCCUUCGGGUUGUAAACCUCUUUCAGCACCGACGAAGCGCAAGUGACGGUAGGUGCAGAAGAAGGACCGGCCAACUACGUGCCAGCCGCCGCCGUAA
rnacentral:rRNA from 1 species